rnacentral:rRNA from 1 species
GACGAACGCUGGCGGCGUGCCUAAUACAUGCCAGUAGAACGCUGAAGGAGGAGCUUGCUUCUCUGGAUGAGUUGCGAACGGGUGAGUAACGCGUAGGUAACCUGCCUGGUAGCGGGGGAUAACUAUUGGAAACGAUAGCUAAUACCGCAUAAUAGUAGAUGUUGCAUGACAUUUGCUUAAAAGGUGCAAUUGCAUCACUACCAGAUGGACCUGCGUUGUAUUAGCUAGUUGGUGGGGUAACGGCUCACCAAGGCGACGAUACAUAGCCGACCUGAGAGGGUGAUCGGCCACACUGGGACUGAGACACGGCCCAGACUCCUACGGGAGGCAGCAGUAGGGAAUCUUCGGCAAUGGACGGAAGUCUGACCGAGCAACGCCGCGUGAGUGAAGAAGGGUUUCGGAUCGUAAAGCUCGGUUGUAAGAGAAGAACGAGUGUGAGAGUGGAAAGUUCACACUGUGACGGUAUCUUACCAGAAAGGGACGGCUAACUACGUG